rnacentral:rRNA from 1 species
UACGAAGGGGCUAGCGUUGCUCGGAAUCACUGGGCGUAAAGGGUGCGUAGGCGGGUUUUAAGUCAGGGUGAAAUCCUGGAGCUCAACUCCAGAACUGCCUUUGAUACUGAAGAUCUUGAGUCCGGGAGAGGUGAGUGGAACUGCGAGUGUAGAGGUGAAAUUCGUAGAUAUUCGCAAGAACACCAGUGGCGAAGGCGGCUCACUGGCCCGGUACUGACGCUGAGGUGCGAAAGCGUGGGGAGCGAACAGGA